rnacentral:lncRNA from 1 species
CGCUCCAGGCAGCCCCUCCCCACGGGGCUCUCCUUUGCACCAGGCCCGUGGCUUCUCGCACCUUCUUCCUGCCAUUGAUCAUCACCACGAGCUCCCUCCACUGAAAGCCACGCCGCAGGCCCGCCAGCUGUGGCCUGGCCGGGUCGGCCGAAGAACCAGACCGUAGAGGCAGGAGAGGCCCCCGGAGGAGCUCCGCCCUGGACCAGCCUUCCUUCCCGGCGGCUGCCUGGCACCCCACGCCCCACGCUGUGCCCCUGCACUCCUUCCUGGAUCGGGUUGAAGCCGCCAUCUGGAAUCCUCCACGAAGAGACCUGGACGUGCGGCCCAGCACCCCCCGGCUGGCCAAUCGGCGGACUAGGAUGGAGGCACCCUUGUGAGCCGGGGGGCCCUUCAAAGGGCCCAGGACAAAACGCGGGCCGAGGGACCAGCCUCUCAGACGGGUUUCGAGCUCCGAUGACCUUCACUCACCCCCUUGAAAUGUCUGGAAAACAGAAUGGGCAGAUUUUCUGUCUUCAAAGUUUCCGGCUAAAUCUCUUCAAGUUCUUUAUUGUUUGAGACUGAGACACUCAGCAAUG